GGGGCCUUAGCUCAACUGGUAGAGCGCUUGCAUGGCAUGCAAGAGGCAACGGGUUCGACCCCCGUAGGCUCCAC
rnacentral:tRNA from 1 species